rnacentral:rRNA from 1 species
GGGCCCGUGAAAAGGCAAGCAUGAUGUCCGUACCGAGAUCCGACACAGGUGCUCUGCCAGCGCAAGGCAAGGCCUGUCGGGAGAACCGACGUUAGGGAAUUCGGCAAGUUAGUCCCGUACCUUCGGAAGAAGGGAUGCCUGCUCUCGACGGAGCAGGUCGCAGUGACUCGGGCGCUCCGACUGUCUAGUAACAACACAGGUGACCGCAAAUCCGCAAGGACUCGUACGGUCACUGAAUCCUGCCCAGUGCGGGUAUCUGAACACCUCGUACAAGAGGACGAAGGACCCGUCAACGGCGGGGGUAACUAUGACCCUCUUAAGGUAGCGUAGUACCUUGCCGCUUCAGUAGCGGCUUGCAUGAAUGGAUAAACGAGAGCGCCACUGUCCCAACGUUGGACCCGGUGAACUGUACGUUCCAGUGCGGAGUCUGGAGACCCCCAAGGGGAAGCGAAGACCCUAUAGAGCUUUACUGCAGGCUGUCGCUGAGACGUGGUCGCCGAUGUGCAGCAUAGGUAGGAGUC